rfam:Tupaia chinensis contig232158, whole genome shotgun sequence.
UGCAGCUGUAUUAAAUUUGGGGCCCACCUGGUUGAUUGAAAGCACUGACCCUGAAGGCUGUGACAGAAACACUUUGACCCAUGAACAUUGUUCCUCUCUCCUGGGCUCUGAGAUAGAUCUCAUCACAGACAGUA